rfam:Myotis davidii contig135269, whole genome shotgun sequence.
GGCAGUUCUUGGGUGACGCACCCAGGAAUCAGGCUCCCUCCUCUCUGGUUCCAGGUCCAUUACCUGAGAACUGCA